UACGUAGGGACCAAGCGUUGUUCGGAUUUACUGGGCGUAAAGGGCGCGUAGGCGGCAAUUCAAGUCAUCUGUGAAAUCUCCGGGCUUAACUCGGAACGGUCAGAUGAUACUGCUUUGCUCGAGUGCGGAAGGGGCAAUCGGAAUUCUUGGUGUAGCGGUGAAAUGCGUAGAUAUCAAGAGGAACACCUGAGGUGAAGACGGGUUGCUGGGCCGACACUGACGCUGACAGCGCGAAAGCCAGGGGAGCAAACAGG
rnacentral:rRNA from 1 species